AAGUCGUAACAAGGUCUCCGUAGGUGAACCUGCGGAGGGAUCAUUACCGAGUGAGGGCCUCCGGGCCCGACCUCCAACCCCAUGUUAACCGACCCUGUUGCCUCGGGGGCGACCCGGACUCGUGCCGGGGCCCCCGAUGGACCUUCAAACACUGCAUCUUUGCGUCCGAGUCAAUAUUUGAAUAAAUCAAAACUUUCAACAACGGAUCUCUUGGUUCUGGCAUCGAUGAAGAACGCAGCGAAAUGCGAUAAGUAAUGUGAAUUGCAGAAUUCAGUGAAUCAUCGAAUCUUUGAACGCACAUUGCGCCCUCCGGUAUUCCGGGGGGCAUGCCUGUUCGAGCGUCAUUUCACCACUCAAGCCUGGCUUGGUCUUGGGCGAUCGCGGUCCGCCGCGCGCCCCAAUGUCUCCGGCUGAGCGACCGUCUCGAAGCGUUGUGGUAACCCAAAUCGCUUGCAGAGUGCGGGAGUUCGGGCCGUUAAACACCCCCAUACAGGUUGACCUCGGAUCAGGUAGGGAUACCCGCUGAACUUAAGCAUAUCAAUAAGCGGAGGAAAAGAAACCAACAGGGAUUGCCUCAGUAACGGCGAGUGAAGCGGCAACAGCUCAAAUUUGAAAUCUGCCGCAAGGCCGAGUUGUAAUUUGUAGAGGAUGCUUCUGGGCAGCGGCCGGUCUAAGUUCCUUGGAACAGGACGUCAUAGAGGGUGAGAAUCCCGUAUGCGACCGGUUGGCACCCGUCACGUAGCUCCUUCGACGAGUCGAGUUGUUUGGGAAUGCAGCUCUAAAUGGGUGGUAAAUUCCAUCUAAAGCUAAAUACCGGCCAGAGACCGAUAGCGCACAAGUAGAGUGAUCGAAAGAUGAAAAGCACUUUGGAAAGAGAGUUAAAAAGCACGUGAAAUUGUUGAAAGGGAAGCGCAUGCAACCAGACUUGUCGGCGGUGUUCCGCCGGUCUUCUGACCGGUCUACUCGCCGCCGACAGGCCAGCAUCGUGUGGGUGUGCCGGAUAAAGGCGUCGGGAAUGUGGCCCCUCGGGGUGUUAUAGCCCGGCGCAUAAUACGGUGCCGCCCGCGCGAGGUCCGCGCUUCGGCUAGGAUGCUGGCGUAAUGGUCGUAUGCGGCC
rnacentral:rRNA from 1 species